rnacentral:rRNA from 1 species
CCCUUAGAUGUUCUGGGCUGCACGCGCGCUACACUGAAGCGUUCAACGAGUAUUCACCUUGCCCGGGAGGGUUGGGUAAUCUUUUGAAAACGCUUCGUGAUGGGGAUAGAUUAUUGCAAUUAUUAAUCUUCAACGAGGAAUUCCUAGUAAGCGCGAGUCAUCAGCUCGUGCUGAUUACGUCCCUGCCCUUUGUACACACCGCCCGUCGCUCCUACCGAUUGAAUGGUCCGGUGAAAUCUCGGGACGGCGGCUUGGUCGCUUGCGUCCGACUGCUGAAACUUGAUUAAACCAUAUCAUUUAGAGGAAGGUGAANUCGUANCA